UGCAGUCGCCGGCCAGGUCCCUGGGGUCAGGUCGCCAUUGCUCACGUGGAAGAAAUAAAUAAUCUGCAACUUUACCUCCAAGUAGCAAAGCACCCCCACUCUUCAUUUUUCCCUGACUGUGCAACGGCCCCCUGCUAUUGGGGGAAGCAGCCAGCCAAGGUUGGAUGUCUCUGAUCCUGCACACUGUGGCUGUGUCUUAAGUGAGCAAACGUGUCCUGAUCUCCAUGAGGAUUCCAAGACAGGGUGGAUGUCUUCUGAGGGUGAACAGAGUGGAGAAGAUGUUCAUGCUCUGAAGAAGCCCUCCCCUGGGAGAAAUUCCUUCUUGCAUCCAAUCCAUAGACACAACUUCCCCCAGUGAGGCAACCCCAGACAGUGAGGGAUGAGCAAUUUUAUAAUGUGUCUAUCACACCAACAGGCCCACAAGACAAAUCACUGUGGACUGAACCUGUCCCAAGUAGAAGGAAUGUGGGGAAGCCUUCCCGUGUUCUCAGCACUGUUAAGUUCUCUUAGAAACCCACAGUGGACAGAAUCCACAGGACUGUCAACAGCAAGGACAAACUUUGAGUCAGGCGUCACCCUGGUGUGACCAUUCGAACCUCCACAUGGGAGAGAAGUCGUAUGUAUGUAAGGAAUGUGGGAAGGCAUAUUGUCAUUCUUCAAGUCUUCAUAGUCAUAAGAAGAUUCAUACUGGAGAGAACCUCAUGUCUGUAAGGAAUGUGUGAAGGCCUUUCAACCUGGAAACCUUCAUAAUCACAGGAAAAUUCAUAAAUGUCAGACAUGUGGAAAGGCCUCUCUGCUCUCAGGCCUUACUGUGCAUUUGAAAAUGCAUGGGGAGAAGUCUUACAUAUGUAAGGAAUUUGGGAAGGCUUUGAUUCAUUCCUCUGGCCUCACUUGGCAUAUGAAAAUUCAUACUGGGGAGAAAUAUUGUUUAUGUAAUGAAUGCGGGCAGGGCUUCAUGUUCCCCCCAAGCCUUAGUAAACAUAGUAAAAUUCAUACUAGAUGACUUGAUCCCCUAGGAAUCACCCCUAAGAUCAGAAG